GAUGAACGCUGGCGGCGUGCCUAAUACAUGCAAGUCGAGCGAAUGGAUUAAGAGCUUGCUCUUAUGAAGUUAGCGGCGGACGGGUGAGUAACACGUGGGCAACCUGCCCAUAAGACUGGGAUAACUCCGGGAAACCGGGGCUAAUACCGGAUAACAUUUUGAACCGCAUGGUUCGAAAUUGAAAGGCGGCUUCGGCUGUCACUUAUGGAUGGACCCGCGUCGCAUUAGCUAGUUGGUGAGGUAAUGGCUCACCAAGGCAACGAUGCGUAGCCGACCUGGAAGGGUGAUCGGCCAAACUGGGACUGAGACACGGCCCAGACUCCUACGGGGGGCAGCAGGAGGGAAUCUUCCGCAAUGGACGAAAGUCUGACGGGGCAACGCCGCGUGAGUGAUGAAGGCUUUCGGGUCGUAAAACUCUGUUGUUAGGGAAGAACAAGUGCUAGUUGAAUAAGCUGGCACCUUGACGGUACCUAACCAGAAAGCCACGGCUAACUACGUGCCAGCCGCCGCCGUAA
rnacentral:rRNA from 1 species